UCGGAGAGCUCCAUUCAGUUGGCACUGUUAAAUUCAUGUUUUUUGUAUUGUUCAGUCAAAUGAAUAGAUUGUAUAGCUGCUUUUUCUAACUUUCAGUCGACAAGCACUCGGAGAGAUUGCAACAUGGGAACAUUGUACCGAGUUGUAAGAGAUAUGCGGCCCACGCCCGCCUCCAUGGCCGCAAAGGAGCAGCUCGACCAGACGGAAACGCUGGCAAAGAUGUUCGGCUGGCUUUCCGUGGAUGGAGCUUGUUAGCGUUGAUUUUAUGCAGAUUUUCGCGGAAAAUUUAUGUAGAGCUGCGCAGAUACAUUGUGUGUGGCAAUGGAGGAGCGGGGGCUGAAAACAAGGCAGAAGCGAAGCCGAGUUUCUGGAAGUAUGCGAAGUAAAGACAGACGACAAAGAGAUCCCCCGCUUCUCCUGUUGUACUAUAUGCCUGAUUACUUUCAAAAUUGCCAGCUAUUUCAGCUCAUAUGGGGCUUAUUGCCAGUGAAAUAAGCAAACAUCGAUAUAUCGAUUUUCUCUACAGUUUCUCUUACCGAGUUUUACUCGAUGUUCAAUCUUGGGAACAUCUCAAAAAAGAAAUCACGCCAAAAUACAUAUGUCUGCCUAUAAUAAUAAUAAUUCUUAUUCAAAAGCAUUUAUAGUGACGCGAAACAUAACACAUGCAGUAAAUGUUAAAUAAAUAAAGUGUUAUCAUAAUUAUAAUAGAGUGUCGGCUAUUAAAGCAUUCAUAGACACAGUGGCUGCUGGAAGUAACGUCUCAGCAACAGAAGUCACACCUCCGUGUGUCGCACAUCAAAGGAGUCGAAUAAAUUACUCAGGAAAGAAGGCACGUUCCUGUAAUAAUGGCUGGUCAAUUUUAAUGAGUAUACGUAGAGGCACGCACAUGCCUUAUAUGGCACUAUAAUACACACACACAUACACACACGCACAGCCAGGCAGCUCAAGAGGAGCGUGCGUACGCCCAUUGGCUGAUAUGUCCAUUGCGGCAAUUGAACGAGUUUUGUGCCGGCGAGUCUGUCAGUAACGGCUCGUCCUGUGAGAGGAUGUCAGUGAACAGGAGUUGAAUAUGCCUGAGUCCGAGUGUGCGUGUGUGUGCAUUGUAAGCUGAAGAAAAAUGCUGCGGUAAUUACAUUAACAGCAGCACCGGAAAUUGAAAUAUGUAUGUAUCUUUGUUAUAGCUAUGGCCAUGAGAAGACGGAGGGUUACAACAAAAGUUGGCGAUUGUUAAUGUUAGCGAUAAGGAUAUAAAGAGAAUGUUUGGCAAAAGCACUAUUUAAAGGGAAAUCAAGAGUGAAAAUAUUUGGCAACAUUGUUUUAAGCGAAUUAUGGCAGACUCAAUAAUGUAUGGGGAAAUAUUUAUAUAAUGUGUAAUAAGAGCAUAAUUUACAAACAAAUUUUUCAGCACUAUUUAAAAGGAAUGCAUAAAUAGAAAAAUUUCACAGCACUGUUUUAGGCAAAUAUUUAUAAAUGCAUUAUCAAUUAAAAACAAUAGCUAAAUUUUCCAACACUAUUUAUUGUCAAUUUAACAGUGAAAAUAUUGGAAAGUCAUACUUAGCCGUAUUUCACAUGCUCUAAAUGAUGAAUAGAAAAUAUGUAUAAUUAUAAUCAA